rnacentral:sRNA from 1 species
AGACUUUAAUAGAAAGGAAUGAUGGGUGGACGAUGAUUAACUAAUCUAUUUUGUCACGUAUUUGAAAAAUUUUUCAGCAACGAACAAAUAGGAUUAGUAUGCCCAUUUUUUCUUUAUCGGCUUUGUGUGCAAUUUUUGGUUGCGCAUAUUUUCUAAUCCUAUCGCGAUACGCGGUAGGAUUUUUUU